UGGGGAAUUUUGGACAAUGGGCGAAAGCCUGAUCCAGCAAUGCCGCGUGUGUGAAGAAGGCCUUCGGGUUGUAAAGCACUUUUGUCCGGAAAGAAAUCCUCUGGGUUAAUACCUCGGGGGGAUGACGGUACCGGAAGAAUAAGCACCGGCUAACUACGUGCCAGCAGCCGCGGUAAUACGUAGGGUGCAAGCGUUAAUCGGAAUUACUGGGCGUAAAGCGUGCGCAGGCGGUUUUGUAAGACGGAUGUGAAAUCCCCGGGCUUAACCUGGGAACUGCAUUCGUGACUGCAAGGCUAGAGUAUGGCAGAGGGGGGUAGAAUUCCACGUGUAGCAGUGAAAUGCGUAGAGAUGUGGAGGAAUACCGAUGGCGAAGGCAGCCCCCUGGGCCAAUACUGACGCUCAUGCACGAAAGCGUGGGGAGCAAACAGGAUUAGAUACCCUGGUAGUCCACGCCCUAAACGAUGUCAACUAGUUGUUGGGGAUUCAUUUCCUUAGUAACGUAGCUAACGCGUGAAGUUGACCGCCUGGGGAGUACGGUCGCAAGAUUAAAACUCAAAUGAAUUGACGGGGUCAUAGCUGUUU
rnacentral:rRNA from 1 species